rnacentral:rRNA from 1 species
UACGAGGGGGGCGAGCGUUGCUCGGAAUUACUGGGCGUAAAGCGCACGUAGGCGGCUUUCUAAGUCGGGGGUGAAAUCCUGGAGCUCAACUCCAGAACUGCCUUCGAUACUGGAAAGCUCGAGUCCGGGAGAGGUGAGUGGAACUGCGAGUGUAGAGGUGAAAUUCGUAGAUAUUCGCAAGAACACCAGUGGCGAAGGCGGCUCACUGGCCCGGUACUGACGCUGAGGUGCGAAAGCGUGGGGAGCAAACAGG